UCAAGCUAAUAAGGGCGCAAGGGGAAUGCCUUGGCAUUGGAAGCCGAUGAAGGACGUAGCGAUCUACGAAAAGCCCCGGGGAGGCGAAAGCAGCCAUCGAUCCGAGGAUAUCCGAAUGGGGAAACCCGGCGGAGCAAUACUCCGUCAUCCUUUUGUGAAUCCAUAGCAACUGGAAGGGAACCGCCUGAACUGAAACAUCUAAGUAGGGCGAGGAAGAGAAAUCAACCGAGAUUCCGCUAGUAGUGGCGAGCGAACGCGGAAGAGGCCAAACCAAGAGUAGUAAUACUUUUGGGGUUUUGGACAGCGUACGGUAUUAACUGCGGUUAGUAGAAUGAAAUGGGAAGUUCAACCACAGAGCGUGAUAGUCGCGUACACGAAAACUAAAGUUAGCCAGCUGGAUCCAGAGUACCGCCGGACACGUGAAACCCGGUGGGAAGACGGGGGGACCACCCUCCAAGCCUAAAUACUCUCCAAUGACCGAUAGUGUAUAGUACUGUGAAGGAAAGGUGAAAAGAACCCCUGGCGGGGAGUGAAAUAGAACCUGAAACCUUGUGCCUACAAGCACAUAGAGCGCGUCAAUGCGUGAUAUGGUACCUUUUGUAGAAUGGUCCGGCGAGUGAAUGUCACUGGCAAGGUUAAGCUCUUAAGGAGUGCAGCCGAAGCGAAAGCGAGUCUGAAAUGGGCGUUUUUAGUCAGUGGUAUUCGACCCGAAACCGGGUGACCUAGCCAUGAGCAGGCUGAAGUGGAGGUAAAACUCCAUGGAGGGCCGAACCCACUCCCGUUGAAAUGGUAGGGGAUGACUUGUGGCUAGCGGAGAAAUUCCAAUCGAACCCGGAGAUAGCUGGUUCUCUCCGAAAUAGCUUUAGGGCUAGCCUCAAUUAACAUUACCGCAGGUAAAGCACUGAAUGAGCUAGGGGGCGAAAGCUUACUGAACUCUAUCAAACUCAGAAUGGCGGAUAAUGAAUGAUUGGGAGUCACACUACGUGAGAUAAGUUUCGUGGUGGAAAGGGAAACAGCCCAGACCCACAGCUAAGGUCCCAAAGUACAGUUAAGUGGAAAAGGAUGUGAAAUUGCGCAGACAACCAGGAUGUUGGCUCAGAAGCAGCCACUCAUUCAAAGAGUGCGUAAUAGCUCACUGGUCGAGUGAUUUUGCGCCGAAAAUUUAACGGGGCUAAACUGUACACCGAAGCUUGGGAAUAUACAUUUGUAUGUUGGUAGGAGAGCGUUGUGUAAGGGGUGAAGUCGUAGCGAAAGCGGCGGUGGACUUUACACAAGUGAGAAUGCCGGAAUGAGUAGCGAGAAUUAUGUGAGAAUCAUAAUGGCCGAAAGACUAAGGUUUUAGAAGGAAGGUUCGUCCGCUUCUAGUUAGCCGGGAGCUAAGGCGAGGCCGAGAGGCGUAGUCGAUGCACAUACGGUUGAGAUUCCGUAGCUACCUUGCAUUUAAGCGAAGGGACACAUUUGAAGGGCAUGACCCGGGCGUUGGUUGACCCGGGCGUAAGGGACCGAAAAUAAGUAGGGAAGCAUGCUUGGAUGGUGGCGAGAAAAGCUUCGUGUAUAUAAGCAGGGUACCCGUACUGCAAACCGACACAGGUAGUCAGGAAGAGGAUUCUAAGGCCAUCGGGAGAAGCGUUGUUAAGGAACUCGGCAAAUUGACCCCGUAACUUCGGAAUAAGGGGUGCUCACGCGAGUGAGCCGCAGUGAAUAGGUCCAGGCAACUGUUUAUCAAAAACACAGCUCUCUGCUAAAUCGUAAGAUGACGUAUAGGGGGUGACACCUGCCCGGUGCUGGAAGGUUAAGAGGAGGGGUGCAAGCUCCGAAUUGAAGCCCCAGUAAACGGCGGCCGUAACUAUAACGGUCCUAAGGUAGCGAAAUUCCUUGUCGGGUAAGUUCCGACCCGCACGAAAGGCGUAA
rnacentral:rRNA from 1 species